rnacentral:tRNA from 1 species
CCCUUCGUGGUGUAACGGUUAGCACACUCGGCGCGUAUUCGAGAGGUUCAGGGUUCAAUUCCCAGCGAAGGCA